ACGGGGCCCGCACAAGCAGCGGAGCAUGUGGUUUAAUUCGACGCAACGCGAAGAACCUUUACCAGGUCUUGACAUCCAGUAAAAUCUGUGGAAACGCAGUGUGCUUUCGGGCGUACUGAGACAGGUGGUGCAUGGUUGUCGUCAGCUCGUGUCGUGAGAUGUUGGGUUAAGUCCCGCAACGAGCGCAACCCUUGUUGAUAGUUACUAACGCGUAGAGGCGAGGACUCUAUCAAGACUGCCGGGGACAACUACGGAGGAAGGUGGGAUGACGUCAAAUCAUCAUGCCCCUUAUGACCUGGGCGUACACACGUGCUACAAUGGCCGAUACAGAGAGGAGCAAACCCGCAAGGGGGAGCGGAUCUCAAAAAAGCGGUCACAGUUCGGAUUGCAGGCUGCAAUUCGCCUGCAUGAAGUCGGAAUCGCUAGUAAUCGCAGGUCAGCAUACUGCGGUGAAUACGUUCCCGGGCCUU
rnacentral:rRNA from 1 species